AACGAACGCUGGCGGCGUGGAUAAGACAUGCAAGUCGAACGGAUUUGUCUGCGUAGCAAUACGUAGACAGGUCAGUGGCGCAAGGGUGCGUAACACGUGGGCAACCUGCCCUGGAGACUGGGAUAGCCCGCCGAAAGGCGGAUUAAUACCGGAUGCGGCUACCAAAGGAAUCUUUGGGACGCUAAAGGUGGCGCAAGCUACCGCUCUUGGAUGGGCCCGCGGCCUAUCAGCUAGUUGGUGAGGUUACGGCUCACCAAGGCGAUGACGGGUAGCUGGUCUGAGAGGACGACCAGCCACACUGGAACUGAGACACGGUCCAGACACCUACGGGUGGCAGCAGUCGAGUAAUUUUUCUCAAUGGGGAAACCCUGAAGGAGCGACGCCGCGUGGAGGAUGAAGGUCUUCGGAUUGUAAACCCCUUUCGGGAGGGAAGAGGGAAUGGGGCAACCCAUUCGGACGGUACCUCCAGAAGCAGCCACGGCUAACUUCGUGCCAGCCGCCGCGGUAAC
rnacentral:rRNA from 1 species